CCUACGGGUGGCAGCAGUGAGGAAUAUUGGUCAAUGGACGGAAGUCUGAACCAGCCAUGCCGCGUGCAGGAAGACGGCUCUAUGAGUUGUAAACUGCUUUUGUACAAGGAUAAACCUGUCUACUUGUAUUCAGCUGCAAGUACUGUACGAAUAAGGAUCGGCUAACUCCGUGCCAGCAGCCGCGGUAAUACGGAGGAUCCAAGCGUUAUCCGGAUUUAUUGGGGUUAAAGGGUGCGUAGGCGGAUUGAUAAGUUAGAGGUGAAAUGUCCGAGCUUAACUCGGGAACUGCCGCUAAUACUGUUGAUCUAGAGAGUAGAUGCGGUAGGCGGAAUGUAUGGUGUAGCGGUGAAAUGCUUAGAGAUCAUAAAGAACACCGAUUGCGAAGGCAGCUUACCAAUCUAUAUCUGACGUUGAGGCACGAAAGCGUGGGGAGCAAACAGGAUUAGAUACCCUGGUAGUC
rnacentral:rRNA from 1 species